rnacentral:ncRNA from 1 species
GUGUUCGUGAAAAGGAGAGAUGGUUGGCAUCUCCCCUGACAGGGAUGGGAACAGCUUUCGGGCUUUCCUGUUACACACCUCGGUUAAGGCUAUCCACCUCAUUGAGGUCGGAUCUAACCAAAAAUUUUU